rnacentral:rRNA from 1 species
UUGGCCUUGACAUACUAAGAACUUUCCAGAGAUGGAUUGGUGCCUUCGGGAACUUAGAUACAGGUGCUGCAUGGCUGUCGUCAGCUCGUGUCGUGAGAUGUUGGGUUAAGUCCGCAACGAGCGCAACCCUUUUCCUUAUUUGCCAGCGGGUCAUGCCGGGAACUUUAAGGAUACUGCCAGUAACAAACUGGAGGAAGGCGGGGACGACGUCAAGUCAUCAUGGCCCUUACGGCCAGGGCUACACACGUGCUACAAUGGUCGGUACAAAGGGUUGCUACCUCGCGAGAGGAUGCUAAUCUCAAAAAGCCGAUCGUAGUCCGGAUCGCAGUCUGCAACUCGACUGCGUGAAGUCGGAAUCGCUAGUAAUCGCGGAUCAGAAUGCCGCGGUGAAUACGUUCCCGGGCCUUGUACACACCGCCCGUCACACCAUGGGAGUUUGUUGCACCAGAAGUAGGUAGUCUAACCGCAAGGAGGACGCUUACCACGGUGUGGCCGAUGACUGGGGUGAAGUCGUAACAAGGUAAGCGUAGAUGA